UACGUAGGGUGCGAGCGUUGUCCGGAAUUACUGGGCGUAAAGAGCUCGUAGGCGGUUUGUCGCGUCUGCCGUGAAAGUCCGGGGCUCAACUCCGGAUCUGCGGUGGGUACGGGCAGACUAGAGUGAUGUAGGGGAGGCUGGAAUUCCUGGUGUAGCGGUGAAAUGCGCAGAUAUCAGGAGGAACACCGAUGGCGAAGGCAGGUCUCUGGGCAUUAACUGACGCUGAGGAGCGAAAGCCAGGGGAGCAAACGGG
rnacentral:rRNA from 1 species